rnacentral:tRNA from 1 species
CUCGAAAUAGCUCAGUUGGAAGAGCGUUAGACUAUAAUCGAAAGGUCCCGGUUCGAUCCCGGGAUUCGGCA